UGGAUCCAGACUUUGAUUAUGGCUCAGGACGAACGCUGGCGGCAUGCUUCAUACAUGCAAGUCGAACGAUAAGGUCUCUUCGGAGAUACAUAAGUGGCGGACGGGUGGGUAAUAUGUAGGAAAUCUGCCCUACAGAGGGGGACAACAGAAGGAAACUUCUGCUAAUACCCCAUAUGAGCGUACCUGAAAUGGUAUUCUUGAAAACUCCGGUGCUCUAGGAUGAGCCUGCAUCUGAUUAGCUAGUUGGUGGUGUAAUGGACUACCAAGGCGACGAUCAGUAGCUGGUUUGAGAGGAUGAUCAGCCACAAUGGGACUGAGACACGGCCCAUACUCCUACGGGAGGCAGCAGUAGGGAAUUUUGCGCAAUGGGCGAAAGCCUGACGCAGCAAUGCCGCGUGAAUGUUAAACCCUUCGGGGUGUAAAGUUCUGUCAGUGGGGACGAACAAAUGACGGUACCCACAGAGGAAGCACCGGCUAACUCCGUGCCAGCAGCCGCGGUAAUACGGAGGGUGCAAGCGUUGUCCGGAAUCAUUGGGCGUAAAGAGUUCGUAGGCGGUUUGUUAAGUUAGAUGUUAAAUACUGAGGCUCAACCUCAGCACGGCAUUUGAUACUGGCAGACUUGAAUGCGGUAGAGGUAAAGGGAAUUCCUGGUGUAGCGGUGAAAUGCGUAGAUAUCAGGAGGAACAUCGGUGGCGUAAGCGCUUUACUGGGCCGUAAUUGACGCUGAGGGAACGAAAGCCAGGGUA
rnacentral:rRNA from 1 species